rnacentral:rRNA from 1 species
UACGAAGGGGGCUAGCGUUGUUCGGAAUUACUGGGCGUAAAGCGCACGUAGGUGGGUUGUUAAGUCAGGGGUGAAAUCCCGGAGCUCAACUCCGGAACUGCCUUUGAUACUGGCAAUCUAGAGACUGGAAGAGGUUAGUGGAAUUCCCAGUGUAGAGGUGAAAUUCGUAGAUAUUGGGAAGAACACCAGUGGCGAAGGCGGCUAACUGGUCCAGUACUGACGCUGAGGUGCGAAAGCGUGGGGAGCAAACAGG